rnacentral:rRNA from 1 species
GAUGAACGCUGGCGGCGUGCCUAAUACAUGCAAGUCGAGCGGACGGACGAGAAGCUUGCUUCUCUGAUGUUAGCGGCGGACGGGUGAGUAACACGUGGAUCACCUACCUAUAAGACUGGGAUAACUUCGGGAAACCGUAGCUAAUACCGGAUAAUAUUUUGAACCGCAUGGUUCAAAAGUGAGAGACGGUCUUGCUGUCACUUAUAGAUGGAUCCGCGCUGCAUUAGCUAGUUGGUAGGUUAACGGCUUACCAAGGCAACGAUGCAUAGCCGAGCUGAGAGCGGGUUCCGGGACUGUGGAGCUGACACGCGGCCCUGGCACUGAGGGACGGCCGCGGCAGCGACGCGACGGCAAAGGGCGGAAGCUUGCACGAGCGACGGAGCGUGGGUGAUGAAGCGCUGCGUGUCGGAAAACUCUGUUAUGGGGGAAAACCACUUGCGCAAGUAACGGUGCGUAUCUUGCCGGUACGUAUACAGAAAGACCCGGCUACCUCCUG